rnacentral:lncRNA from 1 species
UUACGUUAUACUAAAAUUACUAUUCGUGAAUCAGAUUUAAUUUGCUCUGUUUUGAUUUGUAUCGUUAGUCUUCAUUGGUUUUUUUUUUUAAACGGCUUAGAAAUGCAAUGGCAAAUCGUUUUAGUAUUAUUGUGUGCCACACGACAUAUAUUGACAAAGUCUAUACAAAACACAACCUCACCGGAUGAAUUACUAUUUGAAAGCCGAUUGGAACUGCUAGAGACUAAAAUCGCUUCUCUAGAAAAUGAAAGUAA